UACGUAGGGUGCGAGCGUUAAUCGGAAUUACUGGGCGUAAAGCGUGCGUAGGCGGUUCGUUAAGUGCGUCGUGAAAGCCCCGGGCUCAACCUGGGAAUGGCGAUGGAAACUGGCGGGCUGGAGUAUGGCAGAGGGGGUGGAAUUCCGCGUGUAGCAGUGAAAUGCGUAGAGAUGCGGAGGAACACCGAUGGCGAAGGCAGCCCCCUGGGCCAAUACUGACGCUCAGGCACGAAAGCGUGGGAGCAAACAGG
rnacentral:rRNA from 1 species